UAUUUAUGUGUUUGCACCGUACGAAUAAAUGUGAAUACUUUCACAUUUUUAACGUAGAUGUAAAUGAAUUUACUCAGUGCAUAACAAACUGUGUUCGUAAUUACUGCUACUGCAUAAAGUGCUAUCGUCUUUGGGGCUUUUGGCGAUAAACGAUUACUCACUCAUUAAUAUUGAAACCGCCAUCAAUUAUUUUUAUAAAGUGUUAAAAAGGUUCUCUUCGAGUUCAUAAAUGUCCAAAAUGUUGACUUUAGUAGUUUUGUUCAGCAUUGUAUUCUGUUUGGGAGGUUCCACAGCAAAAAACAUUACAUCGAAUUUUUAUGGAGAAGAAUCUUGCUACAAAGUCCGUGGGUUCUGUCUACUAGAAGAUGAGUGUCACCAACCAGUAGAUGAGGCAUUUAAAAAUUUAUGUCCAAACCAAAAAAGUGAAGGAGCUGUAUGCUGCAAAAACUUUCCUCAAGAACAGGUGAAUUGUUAUCAAUUGCAUCAUGAUAAUAUUAA